rnacentral:rRNA from 1 species
GGAUUAUGACGUACUUGUACUGAUUGAGAUUUUAACACGAAGUGAGUGGCGAACGGGUGAGUAACACGUGGGUAACCUGCCCAGAAGUAGGGGAUAACACCUGGAAACAGAUGCUAAUACCGUAUAACAGAGAAAACCGCAUGGUUUUCUUUUAAAAGAUGGCUCUGCUAUCACUUCUGGAUGGACCCGCGGCGUAUUAGCUAGUUGGUGAGGUAAAGGCUCACCAAGGCAGUGAUACGUAGCCGACCUGAGAGGGUAAUCGGCCACAUUGGGACUGAGACACGGCCCAGACUCCUACGGGAGGCAGCAGUAGGGAAUCUUCCACAAUGGACGCAAGUCUGAUGGAGCAACGCCGCGUGAGUGAAGAAGGGUUUCGGCUCGUAAAGCUCUGUUGUUAAAGAAGAACGUGGGUAAGAGUAACUGUUUACCCAGUGACGGUAUUUAACCAGAAAGCCACGGCUAACUACGUGCCAGCAGCCGCGGUAAUACGUAGGUGGCAAGCGUUAUCCGGAUUUAUUGGGCGUAAAGCGAGCGCAGGCGGUCUUUUAAGUCUAAUGUGAAAGCCUUCGGCUCAACCGAAGAAGUGCAUUGGAAACUGGGAGACUUGAGUGCAGAAGAGGACAGUGGAACUCCAUGUGUAGCGGUGAAAUGCGUAGAUAUAUGGAAGAACACCAGUGGCGAAGGCGGCUGUCUGGUCUGCAACUGACGCUGAGGCUCGAAAGCAUGGGUAGCGAACAGGAUUAGAUACCCUGGUAGUCCAUGCCGUAAACGAUGAUUACUAAGUGUUGGAGGGUUUCCGCCCUUCAGUGCUGCAGCUAACGCAUUAAGUAAUCCGCCUGGGGAGUACGACCGCAAGGUUGAAACUCAAAAGAAUUGACGGGGGCCCGCACAAGCGGUGGAGCAUGUGGUUUAAUUCGAAGCUACGCGAAGAACCUUACCAGGUCUUGACAUCUUCUGACAGUCUAAGAGAUUAGAGGUUCCCUUCGGGGACAGAAUGACAGGUGGUGCAUGGUUGUCGUCAGCUCGUGUCGUGAGAUGUUGGGUUAAGUCCCGCAACGAGCGCAACCCUUAUUACUAGUUGCCAGCAUUAAGUUGGGCACUCUAGUGAGACUGCCGGUGACAAACCGGAGGAAGGGGGGACGACGUCAAAUCAUCAUGCCCCUUAUGACCUGGGCUA